AAACAAGUAAUGAUGAAGAAGGUGUAUAGAUAAAGUUUCAGAGAGUCGGUGUUCGCUGCAAACCGAUACUUCAUCUAUACAAACCUAGCGCUUCUGAACUGGUCAGCUGAAAUAACAGUAGGUUGCCCCGGCAUCGCCGUUAUCUAGUCGAGACUAUUUAAAAGUAGUAAACGAGGGUGGUACCACGGUUAAUAACGUCCCUCAU
rnacentral:ncRNA from 1 species